UUUAUUUAUUUAAUAGUGCUUCAGAAGACACGUUACAGAAGAGUUUUUGGGUGCUUUCGGCAGGCCUUGUAGCGCCCCGCCCUGGGGCGGCCUGCCGAGGCAACACAUAGUUAAGUCCACAGUGGUUUGGAGUCUUGCAACUCAGUAAUGAUCCCUCCGCUGGUUCACCAACGGAGA
rnacentral:misc_RNA from 1 species